rnacentral:rRNA from 1 species
GGGGGCCCGCAAGCGGUGGAGCAUGUGGUUUAAUUCGAUGCAACGCGAAGAACCUUACCUGCUCUUGACAUCCACGGGAUCCUGCAGAGAUGCGGGAGUGCCUUCGGGAACCGUGAGACAGGUGCUGCAUGGCUGUCGUCAGCUCGUGUUGUGAAAUGUUGGGUUAAGUCCCGCAACGAGCGCAACCCUUAUCCUUUGUUGCCAGCGAUUCGGUCGGGAACUCAAAGGAGACUGCCGGUGAUAAACCGGAGGAAGGUGGGGAUGACGUCAAGUCAUCAUGGCCCUUACGAGCAGGGCUACACACGUGCUACAAUGGCGCAUACAAGGAGAAGCGACCUCGCGAGAGCAAGCGGACCUCAUAAAGUGCGUCGUAGUCCGGAUCGGAGUCUGCAACUCGACUCCGUGAAGUCGGAAUCGCUAGUAAUCGUGGAUCAGAACGCCACGGUGAAUACGUUCCCGGGCCUUGUACACACC